rnacentral:rRNA from 1 species
CUUAACACAUGCAAGUCGAGCCGCCCCGCAAGGGGAGCGGCAGACGGGUGAGUAACGCGUGGGAAUCUACCCAUCUCUACGGAACAACUCCGGGAAACUGGAGCUAAUACCGUAUACGUCCUUCGGGAGAAAGAUUUAUCGGAGAUGGAUGAGCCCGCGUUGGAUUAGCUAGUUGGUGGGGUAAUGGCCUACCAAGGCGACGAUCCAUAGCUGGUCUGAGAGGAUGAUCAGCCACACUGGGACUGAGACACGGCCCAGACUCCUACGGGAGGCAGCAGUGGGGAAUAUUGGACAAUGGGCGCAAGCCUGAUCCAGCCAUGCCGCGUGAGUGAUGAAGGCCCUAGGGUUGUAAAGCUCUUUCAACGGUGAAGAUAAUGACGGUAACCGUAGAAGAAGCCCCGGCUAACUUCG